rnacentral:rRNA from 1 species
UUGACCUCGGAUCAGGUAGGACUACCCGCUGAACUUAAGCAUAUCAAUAAGCGGAGGAAAAGAAACCAACAGGGAUUGCCCCAGUAACGGCGAGUGAAGCGGCAACAGCUCAGAUUUGGAAUCUGGCCCCCAGGGCCCGAGUUGUAAUCUGGAGAGGAUGCUUCUGGCGCGGCGCCUUCCGAGUUCCCUGGAACGGGACGCCGGAGAGGGUGAGAGCCCCGUACGGUUGGACGCCUAGCCUUUGUGAAGCUCCUUCGACGAGUCGAGUAGUUUGGGAAUGCUGCUCAAAAUGGGAGGUAAAUUUCUUCUAAAGCUAAAUACCGGCCAGAGACCGAUAGCGCACAAGUAGAGUGAUCGAAAGAUGAAAAGCACUUUGAAAAGAGGGUCAAACAGUACGUCUCAUUGUUGAAAGGGAAG